UACAGAGGGCCCAAGCGUUGUUCGGAUUCAUUGGGCGUAAAGGGUGCGUAGGUGGCGCGCUAAGUCGGGUGUGAAAUUUCGGAGCUUAACUCCGAAACUGCAUUCGAUACUGGUGUGCUUGAGGACUGGAGAGGAGACUGGAAUUCAUGGUGUAGCAGUGAAAUGCGUAGAGAUCAUGAGGAAGACCAGUGGCGAAGGCGGGUCUCUGGACAGUUCCUGACACUGAGGCACGAAGGCCAGGGGAGCAAACGGG
rnacentral:rRNA from 1 species